CUAACUAGGAUUCCCCCAGUAACGGCGAGUGAAGUGGGAAUAGCUCAGACUGAAAAUCUUCGGAGUUGUGGUCUGGAGAAGUAAGACAAAUGGUGGAAGCCUUCGUAAAGUCGCAUGGAAAGGCGCGCCAAGGAGGGUGAGAGCCCCGUUCAUACGAAGGUGGAAGUCGGCGUCUGCUUCCAUGAGUCGAGUUGUUUGGGAUUGCAGCUCUAAUCGGGUGGUAAAUUCCAUCUAAAGCUAAAUAUGGGUAGGAGACCGAUAGCAAACAAGUACCGUGAGGGAAAGAUGAAAAGAACUUUGAAAAGAGAGUGAAAAAGUACCUGCAAUUGCUGAAAAGGAACCGAUGGGAAGUAGUGUGGGUGAUGCCAGGUUCCUGGUAUUACCGGUCUCGCUUUCUUGGCUGUCGUGGGAAAAGGCCUUAAAAACCUGUCAUGAUGCCGAGAGACUGAGACAAAAUGCUUCUCAUCAACCCGUCUUGAAACACGGACCAAGGAGUCUAACAUGUGUGCGAGUGUUCGGGAUCGAAUCCCCAGCGCGAAAUGAAAGUAAAGUCCCAUUAGGGAUGAGGUAGGAGGAGUCACAUCCGCACUAUCGACCGACUAUGAUUCUACGGAAGAAAGGUUUGAGUAUGAGCAUACAUGUUGGGACCCGAAAGAUGGUGAACUAUGCCUGAAUAGGACGAAGCCAGGGGAAACUCUGGUGGAGGUCCGUAGCGAUUCUAACGUGCAAAUUGAUCGUCGAAUUUGGGUAUAGGGGCGAAAGACUAAUCGAACCAUCUAGUAGCUGGUUCCUCCCGAAAUUUCCCUUAGGAUAGCUGCAACCGAACAGUUUUAUCAGGUAAAGCGAAUGAUUAGAGGCAUCAGGGGUGGAACGUCCUUGACCUAUUCUCAAACUUUAAAUGGGUAAGAGCCCCGGGUUGCUUAAUUGAACCUGGCGGUGGAAUGACGGUUGCUAGUGGGCCAAUCUGGGUAAGCUAGAUUGGCGAUGCGGGAUGAACCGAACGUUGAGUUAAAGUGCCAAAGUAUCCGCUAACCUAGAUCCCACAAAAGGUGUUGGUUCAUUAAGACAGCAGGACGGUGGCCAUGGAAGUCGGAACCCG
rnacentral:rRNA from 1 species